rnacentral:ncRNA from 1 species
GGAAUAAUGUAAGCAAGCAAAGUUGAAAAAAUGGAUUCGUAACUUUGGGGAAAGGAUUGGCUCUGAGGGCAGGGCAUGAGGGUCCCAGUCGCAAACCCAUUGGUUGUUGGUGGACUGCUCGAGCUGCUUCCGCGGCGAAAGUGGAUUGUUACGUGCUGGCCGGGGGAUGUACUGGGAAUGGUUCCUUCUGGGGCCUUCCCCACACAUCGAACAGCCAACUCAGAACUAGUACAAACAAGGAGAAUCCAACUAUUUAAUUUAAAAAAGCAUUGCGAUGGUCCCAACAGAUGUUCACGCAAUUUUAUUUCUUUUAGUUAUUGUCUACUUAUCAUUCUAUAUUUCUGUAUAAAAGAAUUUUUGAUUAUUUAGGAUUGGUAAAUGUCC